rnacentral:ncRNA from 2 species
CAGCACUUGUCGGAGUGCCUUAGGGCUGAGACCGUUUAUUCGGGAUCCGUUGAACCUGAUCAGGUUAGAACCUGCGAAGGAAACAAGCAUCAAAUCCAC